AUCGGGUUCGGAUAUUUAGAUUUUGAAAAAAAAUAUUAAAUUUUUCAUUUCUCAAAUUUCUUGUAUUUAAAAAUUUAACUUUCACUUAACUAAUUUUUUAUUUUUAAUAGAUUAAAUGAUUAAUAAAUUUGGACAUAACAUUUUGAAACUAAAUAAAGACAUUAAUUUGGUCAUUAUUUUUAAAUUUUGGAUGUAACUUUUUGUUAAUUCUUGAAAUAAAAAGUUUGCAAUGCAUUUUAAGUGAGUGGCAAAUCAUUUUUUCCGUAAUUCUAUAUAUAUCAUAUGAACUUAAAAUAUGUGUAGUAUCAAUAUAAAUAUUUUAUAUAAAAUGGAAGAUGUAAACUAGAAAUAUAUGGUUAAUUAUGCGUAUGUUCGGUUAUCUUUGGAUAUCCAUUCGGGUUCGGAUAUUACUCGUUCGGGUUCGGAUAUCCAAUCUCUUCUAAUUCAAUACCCGUUCGAAUAUUUUGCUACUUCGGUUUGGAUUUCGGUUCGGGUUUUUCGGAUCAAGUUUUUCGGAUCGGGUUCGGGUGCGGCUUCGGAUAUCGGAUAAAGUGCCCACCCCUACACACAGCUGUCCUUUUAAUAUUAAAGUAUAUAGUUUAAGAAACUCAUCUGAGUUUUUGAAUGAUGACAAUGCUCUUAGAUAUCCAAAAUAUUGAACAUUUUG
rnacentral:lncRNA from 1 species